rnacentral:rRNA from 1 species
GUUGUCCGGAUUUAUUGGGCGUAAAGAGCUCGUAGGUGGUUCGGUAAGUCGGGUGUUAAACCCCCAGGCUCAACCUGGGGACGCCACUCGAUACUGCUGUGACUAGAGUCCGGUAGGGGAGCGUGGAAUUCCUGGUGUAGCGGUGAAAUGCGCAGAUAUCAGGAGGAACACCAGCGGCGAAGGCGGCGCUCUGGGCCGGUACUGACACUGAGGAGCGAAAGCGUGGGUAGCAAACAGG